UACAGGCAGUGCUACGGGCAGUGCUACGGGCAGUGCUACAGGCAGUGCUACUCAGCUGAACUGUAUCUGCUGCCUGUUUAACAGUGGGGAGAAGACAUUAUUAGGCGGCGUGCUCCUCCCUCUCCACAGCCAGGCAGCCUUAUCUGUCAGCCAUUAGUUAAUCAAGGCUGGUAACGUAGAAGUAGAGCAGAAAACCGGCACAGCGCGUGGGGCCAAAGAACAACCUCUGAGAGCUGAGCUGAGCAGUGCAGGAGGAGGGCAAAGACCUGGGAACCGACCAACCCCUCCACUCUAAACUCUACUACCAGGCUAGGCUGCUGCCUCACUCUACUCAACACUGGAUCAGAGCGUGUCUUUGUCUAGGCAUGGCAGGCUGCAAUUGUAUGAUGACAUCCGCCCAUUCCAUCACAGAGGACAGGUCCUGUUUUGCAAGGAAGUUUCAAAGACAGAAGUCAAAACAACACAUGCUGUCGACGUGGGAAAAGCUGGUAAGAGCAGAACACCGUGGGGCGGAGGAAUGUCAGAGUCAUAGAUCGUUCAUCCUCAAGGCCAAAAUAGCCACACACAGGCCUGAUCAUCUCCAUGCAUGGGAAGAAACAUUAAGCAACACCUCAUACUAGCACUAAUACAGUCCAGUCUAACCCUGGACAACAUGGUCCAAAUCUGGCAUCCAGACAUCAGUGGCCAAAGAGAUAUCAUUAGACAAUUACUACACGAGUAAGUAGGCUGUAUUAACUGAAAUGAAUUGGUAUUAACUCGCAAAUAGGAUUUCCUCACAAAAGAGUUGGCACAAACCAAUGUCAUAAGUAUAUUUAGAUACCGAAGGUAAAAAAUAGGGACAUUUCUUAUUGGCGUCACCAUGGAGUUUAUUGUAAGGGUAAUGACGAUUGAAAAGGAUAUUGCAAAGUCUAAAUAAAUAUUGGUCUGUGUUAACAAAGUUGACAAAAUGUUCACUACAAGAGCUUAAGGCUGCUUGUGAUGGAAAAUGAAAGCAGUCAACUAAACUCAACUGUGUAGUUGGUGCCAAACUGUGCCUCUGCCAUGGCUAGAAACUCAAAUAAACUAUCCUAAAAGGGCAUAUUAAGUUUCCCCAACACUAUUAUCUUUUUAAGUCAACACCAUUCAGAAAAGAUGAACUGAGCAAACCAUAAGUCAACUUUUGGGAAUGACAAAAACAACCAGUUUUUCUACCUGUCCAAACAUUCAGCUGGAACCAAUAUCCAUUUCCAUGUCCCACUCCAGAAAAACUCCAUUGGUGCUUCAUUGAGUACAAUGCUGUUGUCUCAUAAAGCUAUGCCAGACCAGGAAAGUGAACCUGAUUUCGGACAGCAGAACUAAAAAGACGGAACAAUGCAUGAGAUUCUAAAGUGACCUUUGGCCCAGGAUUUCCAAGGGCUUCCAAGAGUCCCUAUUCCUGGCAAAUUCCAUCUUCUUCUUACUCAACACCACUUCACUGUUAAGCUGUCAAGACCCAAACUCUAGUGUCAUUUAUCCUAGUGACGAGUUCACAACCAAAGCCAAAGACAUAGUGUUCUUUUAAAAUAAAUAAAUAAAAUCAAAUGUUAUUUGCCACAUGCUUCGUAAACAACAAGUGUAGACUAACAGUGAAAUGCUUACCUAUGGGCCCUUCCCAUCAACGCAGAGAAAAAUGAUAGAAAAAAAUGAUAACACAAGGAAUAAAUACACAACGAGUAACGAUAACUUGGCUAUAUAUAUGGGGUACAGCUAAUGUUUGUCUUACAGCAUUGUUCAUCCUGGGUUCCCAUAACAGAAUUGCAUCAUAAGACACCAACGACCUUGACCUUGGCCUUAUGUUCCAACCAAAAAGCUACAGUACAGAUAUCAAAGAGACACAAGAAAAUGUUGCCCAAAAUAUUGUAUGAUGGGACGAUCACAUUGUUCUUAGAUUGUUUGUAAUUUAGAGGUGGUUGAUCGUCAACACCUGCCCGUGUGUGUCUCAUUAACACAUUCCUCCAAUUUGAACCCUCUGUUUACACCUCUGUCUUUUUAUGGGGCCGCUAUGGGGGUGAAAUGGUGUUAAGCCUUGAGAAUAACUGUGUCCUUAACAGUAGAAGGAAAACAAGUUAGGUAAUAGCAUUGACUACAAAGUCAAAGGCAACUAUAAUACCUUGGCUUCUAGCACAUCAGAUAUAAUAUUUGCCCACCAAUGACUGCUUCACGUAGCCACACUGUAUAUUUUCAGAUCCUAGACGGGUGUCAAACAUACAGCCCAUGGGCCGGUUCCCUGGGUGGUUUGAGUAUAUACUAUAUUUUUGAAUAGGACUAUAUCAUUAUUCUGUCAUUAUUCUGAGUGGCGCGGCGGUUUAAGGCCCUGCAUUGCAGUGCUAGAGGCGUCACUACAGACCCAGGUUCGAUCCGUGAUCCGGAGUCCCUUAGGGCGUUGCACAAUUGGCCCAGUGUCGUCCGGGUUACGGGAGGGUUUGGCCGGGGUAGGCCGUCAUUGUAAAUAAGAAUUAGUUCUUAACUGACUUGCCUGGUUAAAUAUAUAUAUCGUUUUUUAAAUUUGAUACUUUAAAAUGACUAAAAGCAAAUCCAAACUGUGUAGAAAUGAUACAGUUUCUUGACUGUGUCCAGCUCGCUAAUAAUCACCCAAAUGAAAACAAGACAGUCAGGGAGCAUAGAAAAUUCAAAAAUCAAUGGAUAGAUUACAAUUAAUUUGUUUUGAUGGCGGGGAAAUAUAACCAAUAUCCAGUGCGGCCCUCCAGACCUCAUUGACAAAAUGAGUUUGUGCUUGGAAUUUACUCUGGCGGAUCUGACGCUGGAGGAUGAUAUAAGAGGACUGAACAUUGCGUGAUGUAAACGGCGGUGUCCUUUAAUCACAAAAGGAUGGGAGGGAGACGUUGGGGCUGAAUAUGUAGCAUCGAUGAGUACUGUAGGCUCAGACAUUGACUUGCUGGAAUGUCUUCACCAUCUGUGAACCAGCGGCCAUAAAGCUCUGAGAGACAGAUGCACAAGUAGAAACAGACCUGCCAGCCAGGUAGCUAAUGUGGAACGUGCAGUACAGGACCCACAUCAGUAAAGGUAGAGCCUGGAAGUCUUCAUAUAAAGAGUAAUACACUGUCUACUGCACUGCUAACUGACGCCACACAAGAAAGCAGCGGUGUAGGGUGUCUUGGUAAGAUGUGAGGUAAAAAGUAAUAAGCUCUACUUUCUAGGGAGAUAUCGUAUUUUGAGUGGGUUACCACGUUCUUCUAGGGCAACCUCAAACACUUUUCCCACUGAACCAAGUAUGGGGAGAAUUUUUAGAAAUAGAAAUAUUUAGAAAUAUGAAGAGUUUGUACAGUCCGACUACCAAGGUACAUCAACAUGACAGCCACCAACAGGCCCCAACAUGAAUAAUCUCCAGUAGAGACGAGGUGAGAGGAACAUGCAUUGAAGUCCCAUUUCAGAGAGGAUUCACCCCAUAAGCUUUAGAGACCUUUCUCUCAGAUGUGUUGCAAUGCCAGUUGAGGACCUGUUCCCGAUCAUUGGACGAGCCAGGGAAAGCCUAGUUUAAACGCUUCCAGAUCUCUACUUAUUUUAUCCCCCUGCAUCCAUCCCCAACUAGUCUCUCAAUCUUUUCCCCACUCUCUCUCCACUUGCUCUGCUCUGUAUCCAGUUUCUUUGUGGUCGCGAGUCAACUCCUGCCAUUUUAUGUCAUCACCCUCCGUCACUGAGACUGCAUUAGUGGCUAUGUCUAAACGAGGCUUUAAUGUACAGGACUAGGCCACAUAUAUAUCAAACUUUGAAGUUUGACAUCAACCGUGCUUGAUCGCAGAUGUCUAUAUAGGCAGGAGGGUUCACUGGUUUAGAUGAAAGACUCUCCAUCGCUGACACUUAAUAUUUAUGUUCCAUAUGUACUAUAGAAAUAUCUUGUAUAGUUCUCUCUCAGCCAAACGUUAAGAAAUGUGUGUGUUUUGUUGGGCAAUCUGGGAUAAAAACAAAUCAAUCUUUGUAUACAAGCCGUGUCUUUUCUCUGUCAUUUGUUUCUAUUGAGGCAUGGCAGCAUUAUUUCAUUGCUCUCUAAAUUGCAAGAAAUAAAUAUUGGACACAUCAAUGUUGAUGGAGAGCAUACUAAUAUUACAGUUGUUUUUUAAUCAAAUCCUGGGACAAAAACAAAUGACUUUGAUUUAAAACAGACAGGAAAUGUAAUAAUGAAAAAAAUGAGACUUAUUUUGAUAUAUGUUUUGUCUGUCCUCCAUGUUUUCCAACUGUUUGGCCUUUCGAUACAGACUUUGUUGCUGCUGUCAAAGCUAUACUUCUGUCCAAAGAUGUUGAUGCCUCAGAUAACAUCUCGAAGCAGAAUUUGGUUUGGUGCCUCCAAAGCCUUAACCCUCCGAACAUGCCCAAUCCUACAAGUAUACUGACCAAUACAACUCAUCAAUUGCAUAAUUUGGUUUGGCUUAAUGAAUAAAUCACCACUAACAGGGACCAAAUGUAACAUUAGCAUCCUGCUCUGGUUUCCAACCUAUGACAAGAACCAUGCUUGAAGAACUGAGACUGAGGGAACCUCCAAGUCUCCAAGUCCUAGCUAGUCCAGUUGAUCAGUGCUACACCGGCAUAUGGGCUGGAUCAGAAAACACAAGCUCAAUGAUGUUACUACCAUCUGACCCCAGGGUGACAGGUUUAGGGAAUUUGCCUCAGGCCAAAGUCAAAAAUGUUUAUGUUGUUGUCAUUUUAACAAAUGUCUUUCGUUCAGGGUCACGUCAACAAAGAUCGCUCUCAUUGGGACUCCUCCACUAACUGCAGGAAAUUUAUAAGCAACAAAUAAGCAUAAAUUACUAAAAUGUUGGAGUGUUCAAUUCAUCACAUUAUUGUUGGUUAGUUCUGCUUCACCCCAAAAAGUGUUGCAGCUGUUUUUAAAGCAAUCAACAUUACUUAAUGAUGUUACCAUUGUUGCCAUAUCUAUUUUGUGUGGAACUACUACUGCUCCCAAACUGUGUUUGAAUAACAAAAUCUGUGCAAUAAAUUUCAAUUAUUUUCUGUC